CCUACGGGAGGCAGCAGUUGGGAAUUUUGGACAAUGGGGGAAACCCUGAUCCAGCCAUCCCGCGUGUGCGAUGAAGGCCUUCGGGUUGUAAAGCACUUUUGGCAGGAAAGAAACGUCAUGGGUUAAUAUCCCAUGAAACUGACUGUACCUCAGCAUAAGCCCCCC
rnacentral:rRNA from 1 species